UGAAAUGAAAAGAGAAAAUUGAGGGUUGCAGUCAUCUUUGCCUAUAAAAAGGCAUGUCCAAUGCUUUGAGUCAUAAGUCUGAACCUCCAAAAAUUCCCCCUAAAAAUAGAUAUAGUUUCCAGAAGCUAAUUUUGGAUUUCAAAUUCAAACACUAGAUCUGAAAUUCUAAAGUCUCUUUUUCAUCUUAAAAAUAUCAAAAAUAUAUACAAAAGCUACAGAAAAAUCCAAAAAUACACUGUUCCAUUCAAUUUCUUAGGUUAAUUACACGUUUUAGUAGUUCGUUUGCAUUUCCUAGCUCAAUUUAUGGUAGUGGAAGUUUCAGAAGUGUUUUUGGUUUGAUUUCAAGUGGGUUUUGGAUCCAGUCGAGACAUUUUUGGAUCAGUUAUUGGGUGCUGUGUUUCUGUGAUGUGUUUCUGGGUUCUAUGCAGUGAUUUCGGUUCAAAAUUAUUCAUGUUGUUGCUGUUUUUGAUUCCUGUUAGACCUCUACUGCUCCUGGUCGUCUUCUCCGCUUACAUUCUAUUUCAAUUCCAGGUGCACAUUUGUAACUUUGGCAAUUGUAAGCUGAAAAAAUGAAGAAUGCAUAUAUGUGAAGAAUUGGCCUACGUUCUCAUUUAGCUCUCUUACUAAUUUGUGUAUUUAAACACUUCACUCACUGAUGUUAUGUAGAUCCCUGUUCGUUUUGUAUUAGCUGGACUAAAAUUGGGUUGUGUGAGAGAUGUUAACUAUAGUUCACAUUAAUACUCAUGUUAGCAUCUAGUGUUUGAUUUAUGUAGUUAAAAGUGGGCUGUACUAGACUAUUGAACCGAUCUGGACUGUAACGUGAUUGUUUGGAUUAUGUUCGAUUAGUUAGAUAGCUUGUCCCUAGCUCAUGAAUGCCAUAAUUUAGUGUUUUGUCAAACUGAAUGUUAGCUCUUACACUAAUUGCUAAUUAAAGUAGUAUUACAUCAAUUGAAAGAAAAGGAAAGUAUAAAUGUGAACUUGAAGUUGUCAGUUUGAGUAGUAUUGGAAUUUGGGUAGAAAACACCGUUUGUAGGUC
rnacentral:lncRNA from 1 species